GACAGAGGUGCCAAGCGUUAGGCGGAAUCACUGGGCUUAAAGCGUGUGUAGGCGGAAUGGUAAGUACCUUGUGAAAUCCCACGGCUCAACCGUGGAACUGCUCGGUAUACUGCUUUUUCUUGAGCCACUUAGGGGCUGUCGGAACAAACGGUGGAGCGGUGAAAUGCGUAGAUAUCGUUUGGAACGCCAACGGUGAAAACAGACAGCUGGGAGUGUGCU
rnacentral:rRNA from 1 species